rnacentral:rRNA from 1 species
GAUGAACGCUAGCGAUAGGCUUAACACAUGCAAGUCGAGGGGCAGCAUUAUUUUAGCUUGCUAAGAUAGAUGGCGACCGGCGCACGGGUGCGUAACGCGUAUGCAACCUGCCUGUAAUUAGGGAAUAACCCGGUGAAAGUCGGACUAAUACCCUAUAUUCUUCUUUCUCCGCAUGGAGGAGGACGGAAAGAUUUAUUGAUUACAGAUGGGCAUGCGUCCCAUUAGCUAGUUGGUAAGGUAACGGCUUACCAAGGCAACGAUGGGUAGGGGGACUGAGAGGUUGACCCCCCACACUGGUACUGAGACACGGACCAGACUCCUACGGGAGGCAGCAGUGAGGAAUAUUGGUCAAUGGGCGAGAGCCUGAACCAGCCAAGUCGCGUGAAGGACGACGGUUCUAUGGAUUGUAAACUUCUUUUGUAGAGGAAUAAUGGCAGCUACGUGUAGCUGAGAUGCAUGUACUCUACGAAUAAGUAUCGGCUAACUCCGUGCCAGCAGCCGCGGUAAUACGGAGGAUACGAGCGUUAUCCGGAAUUAUUGGGUUUAAAGGGUGCGUAGGUGGCGUAUUAAGUCAGUGGUGAAAAGCUGCAGCUCAACUGUAGUCUUGCCGUUGAAACUGAUAUGCUAGAGAGGAGACGAGGUAUGCGGAAUGUGUGGUGUAGCGGUGAAAUGCAUAGAUAUCACACAGAACGCCGAUUACGAAGGCAGCGUACCAGGCUCCGUCUGACACUGAAGCACGAAAGCGUGGGGAUCAAACAGG